ACCACAUUUGUCUGAAGUCUCUGUGCUGUUCUCUUACAUGUACAUUUCCACUCUGACCAUACUAGUCUCCUUGUGGCUCCCUGAGCACACAUUUCACAUUCUUGUCUCUGGGUCUUUCUCUCGGCCUGGUUCUUAAGAUAGCCCCCUCCUCUCCUUUUCUUAUUCAUUGGAACCCAAGCCACCCUUAUCAGUUCAGCUCAAAUUCUUCCUCCAUUUUUCACCCCCCUUUCUCCUCACUCUGCAUACUCUUCUUUACCUGGGAAUUGCUAUAAGGAUUUGUUGUUGCAUUGGCUUGUUUGUUUGUUUUAUUCCUAAGAGCUUUGUGAUAAUCUAUUGCCUCUAUCACUGUAUGGUAGACUUACGUGACAGCAAUCUCUUAAUUAAGCAUACCCUGAGAAUGACCCUGUGUAACAGACACACCUGAAAGCAAUAACUUAACUGAAGAAAUAAGUGUUGCCACGUGGAAGUUGCUGGCUGGUGGGGGCGGUUGCUAACCGAAAGUGCUGUAUAAACUGCAUGCUUUUUUGCAAGCAGUGACCGGUUCUCCUGUUCAGACUGCUACCACUGGACUGCCCUGAGUCUUCCUCUUGUCCGCCGGGCUGGAGUGCAAUGGCACGAUCUCAGUUCACUGCAACUUCUGCUUCCUGGCUUCAAGUGAUUCUCCUGCUUCAGCCUGCUGAGUAGCUGGAAUUACAGGUGCCUG
rnacentral:lncRNA from 1 species